rnacentral:tRNA from 1 species
AAUCUUAUAUUUUAUAAUAAAAUGUUAAAUUGCAAGUUUAAAGAAGAAAAUGUCUAAGAUUU